UGGGGAAUAUUGCACAAUGGGCGCAAGCCUGAUGCAGCCAUGCCGCGUGUGUGAAGAAGGCCUUCGGGUUGUAAAGCACUUUCAGCGAGGAGGAAGGGUGGUGUGUUAAUAGCACAUUGCAUUGACGUUACUCGCAGAAGAAGCACCGGCUAACUCCGUGCCAGCAGCCGCGGUAAUACGGAGGGUGCAAGCGUUAAUCGGAAUUACUGGGCGUAAAGCGCACGCAGGCGGUUUGUUAAGUCAGACGUGAAAUCCCCGCGCUUAACGUGGGAACUGCAUUUGAAACUGGCAAGCUAGAGUCUUGUAGAGGGGGGUAGAAUUCCAGGUGUAGCGGUGAAAUGCGUAGAGAUCUGGAGGAAUACCGGUGGCGAAGGCGGCCCCCUGGACAAAGACUGACGCUCAGGUGCGAAAGCGUGGGGAGCAAACA
rnacentral:rRNA from 1 species